rnacentral:rRNA from 1 species
UAAGUAAGUUAUUGUUUUUUGUUUUAUUAGGAACUUAAAUUUUGUAGUUAGAAAGAAAAGUUUAAUUGACGAUAGUAUAUAGUACUGUGAAGGAAUUUUAAAGAGGGUUUUAAAGAAAAGUAAAAGAUUUUGUACCUUUUGUAUUAGGGUUCAGCUAAAAUUAUAAAGAUUUUUAUAUCCCGAAUAAUCUUGAGCUAUGGGAGGUGGUUUUAAUCGUUUUAAAGAUUAAAAGAAUUUUUUUAUAGAGAUGAAAUUUUAUUCGAAAGAUUGGUUAUCUGGUUAAAAUUGAAGAUUAGAUAUUUUUUUAUGAUUUGUGUUAUUGUAUAAGUUCAUAAGUUUUUUCUCUGGGAUAAGCUAGGGAAUUUUUUUUAUAUGAAUUUGUGAAAUUGAAGAAGGUUUAAAAUUUACUUUAUUUUGUAAUAAAAAAUUUUCUAUUAGUUGUUUUUAAAAUUUGUGGAUUUUUCAAUUAAUUUUAAAUUGUGAGAAUUUAUGUUAAGAUUAGUAUAAUUAUUGGAGUUGAUUUUGGUUAAGUUUAUGAAUUAAAAGUUAAAAAACAAAAAAGAAUUCGGCAAAAAUUUUUUUUGAAUGUUUAUCAAAAACAUUGUAUCUUGAUAUUAUAAGAUAUAAAACCUGCUCAAUGAUGUGUUAAAUUGCUGUGGUAUUAUGACUAUACGAAGGUAUUGUAAUAAGACUUUAAUUGGGUGCUAAGAGAAUGGUUUAACAAAAAUAAGCUUUUUUUUUGUUUAUAUUAAAAGUUAAUUUAAAAAUGAGAAAGUUUUUAUAAAUUUUUAGGACAAGAAGACCCUAUGAAUUUUUUUAAAGACUUUUCUUUUUUGGUCCUUUAAAAAAAUUCAAGGAAAGUUUUUAAUUAAUUGGGGCGAUUUUUAAAUUUUUAAAAACUUUAGAAAUGUAUUAUUGGAUCCAAUAUUAUUGAUAUUUUAAAAAAAAUACUCUAGGGAUAACAGCGUUAUUAUUUAAUACCUUGGUUCAUUUGGAACAAUGUUGACCGUUUCAUCUAUCGGAGGGAAUGGAGUUUUCGCGCUUCCUUGCUAAACGCUUUCGCGUUUUUAGUAGCCGCUUCAUUUCCUUUAUUAAUUAAUACCUUCCUUUUUCAUUUUCAUAUGAUUCUUAAUCGUUUCUAUUAUAAUAGCCCUAUCAUCCUUCUCAUUGCGACCUCGAUGUUGGAUUAGGAUACCUUUAUUGAUGAAGAAGUUAUAAAAGGAGGUUUGCUCAACCUUUUAAUUCCUACAUGAUCUGAGUUCAGACCGGCGUGAGCCAGGUUGGUUUCUAUCUAAAUUUUAUUUUUAGUUUUUUUAGUACGAAAGGAAUAAGAAAUAAAAAUUAUUUUAUUAAGUUUUUGUAAUUUAAUGUUAAUG